GGAUUCAUUGGGUUUAAAGGGUGCGCAGGCGGAUUGGUAAGUCAGGGGUGAAAUCCCACAGCUCAACUGUGGAACUGCCUUUGAUACUGUCAGUCUAGAGUAUAGUUGAAGUUGGCGGAAUGUGUCAUGUAGCGGUGAAAUGCUUAGAUAUGACACAGAACACCGAUCGCGAAGGCAGCUAGCUAAGCUAUAACUGACGCUCAUGCACGAAAGCGUGGGGAUCAAACAGGAUUAGAUACCCUGGUAGUCCACGCUGUAAACGAUGAUUACUCGAUGUUGGCGAUACACAGUCAGCGUCUGAGCGAAAGCAAUAAGUAAUCCACCUGGGGAGUACGAUCGCAAGAUUGAAACUCAAAGGAAUUGACGGGGGCCCGCACAAGCGGAGGAGCAUGUGGUUUAAUUCGAUGAUACGCGAGGAACCUUACCUGGGCUCGAACGUAAGAUGACUGUAGGUGAAAGCUUACAUCUCUUCGGAGCAUUUUACGAGGUGCUGCAUGGUUGUCGUCAGCUCGUGCCGUGAGGUGUCGGGUUAAGUCCCAUAACGAGCGCAACCCCUACCUUUAGUUGCCAUCAGGUCAUGCUGGGGACUCUAAAGGAACUGCCUACGCAAGUAGUGAGGAAGGCGGGGAUGACGUCAAAUCAGCACGGCCCUUACGUCCAGGGCUACACACGUGCUACAAUGGCCGAUACAGAGGGCAGCUACCUGGUGACAGGAUGCAAAUCUCCAAAGUCGGUCUCAGUUCGGAUCGGAGUCUGCAACCCGACUCCGUGAAGUUGGAUUCGCUAGUAAUCGCGCAUCAGCCAUGGCGCGGUGAAUACGUUCCCGGGCCUUGUACACACCGCCCGUCAAGCCAUGGAAGCUGGGGGGACCUAAAGUCGAUAACCGCAAGGAGUCGCCCAGGGUAAAACCAGUGACUGGGGCUAAGUCGUAACAAGGUAGCCG
rnacentral:rRNA from 1 species